ACAUACGGAUAAAAUGCGUAUAUAAGUGAAUAAAACCUUAUAUACUGAUAUUAUGUACCGAUUUUAAAAAAAUUAAUAAUUCAAAAUUUAAAAAAAAAAAAUCUCCUAACCUAACGCUCUCUCGAAAUCACAUUUUCCCCCUCUCUCGAAAAUACUCACAUUUUUACCUCUUCUUAGACUUUCGUUCCCUCUCGCGAAUUCAUCUUCGUCUCUCACUGAAUCACUUCGUCAUCUUCCUCCUUCAAUCUCUCUCUCAGGUCACUUCUUCAUCUUCUUGAUUAAUUCUCGUGCUGCACUCGCACUCCCUCCCUCUCGCUCAGCCACACAUCAGAUCUUAUUGGGUCCUCAAGCGCAAACCUUUCUUCUAGGGUUCCUGAGCCAAACCAUGGAAGGGAGAGUGCAAAAGAAGAAGAGACAGUUCAGAGAGUGGCUCGUUGCUAAUGUCAAGACGAAAACCCUAUUCGAGCUCCAAACAAGUUGCCUCUCUUCCCCCUCACCCGUAACUGCCUCCCCUCACUCUCGCUCACUCUCACUCUACAACUACAAUAUGCUUUCAAUUUUCUUUUUCCUUCCAGUGCCCUAACCUGCCAUGGGUGUUGGAUUAGAGCUCCAUGGUUUUAGUUUUUGUUCUUCCUUAUAGUGCCCUAAUCUGCAAUGGGUGAUCGAAGCUUCAGGAAGAGCAACACUUUUGUUUGUAGCCAUGUCCAACUCUUAUUCUCACAAGCGGACCAAAGAAGAAAAAGAAGCAGGUUCAUUACGUAUGUCUAGUCAUGGGUUUUAUUAAGCUUGGUCGUUUAUAUCAACAAAUUAUCCUUUUGUUAUUGAUUUCAUUAAAUUUAUUUUAUUUUAUGUCAACUUUUGCUUCACUAAAUCAACUCACAACCUACUUCAUCUGCUCAUAAUAUCAGUAGUUCACUUAAUUAUUUAUGCCCAUUGUUGGUAUGUAGUGCUAAUUCAUUUCUACAUGCAUGUUUCAGUGAUUGCAUAUUUGUUGAAUGUCGCAUUUUCAAUUUACACACCUGUACAUUAUUGCAGUGUUGAUAAUUUUUUCUUAAUUUUAAAUAA